GCAUUGGUGGUUCAGUGGCAGAAUUCUUGUCUUCCAUGAGAGGGAACCAGCUUCAAUUCCUGGCCAAAGCA
rnacentral:tRNA from 1 species